GGUCUCUGUCCAAUCAUCACUGUCAUCAGUCUCAGGUUGUAAAUGUGUAUCUGGAUCUGAGUUCCUGGCUGGUUCUGCUCCUCCACAGUCCUCUCCCUCUGCUUCUGUUUCCAUCUGUUCAGUGUGUCUUUGAUGAACCUGUGAGGACUGAGGUUUCUCUUCAUCAUCUUCACUCUUCACAGGGACAGGAGUGGAUGUGAACUUGGUGAUAUCAUCCUCCUCCAGCCCUUGAAGCUGCUCUCCCUCCUGACUGAUCCAGAGUUCCUCCUGUUCCUCUUU